GAUGAACGCUAGCUACAGGCUUAACACAUGCAAGUCGAGGGGAAACGCCAUCGAAAGCUUGCUUUUGAUGGGCGUCGACCGGCGCACGGGUGAGUAACGCGUAUCCAACCUGCCCAUCACUUGGGGAUAACCUUGCGAAAGUAAGACUAAUACCCAAUGAUAUCUCUAGAAGACAUCUGAAAGAGAUUAAAGAUUUAUCGGUGAUGGAUGGGGAUGCGUCUGAUUAGCUUGUUGGCGGGGUAACGGCCCACCAAGGCAACGAUCAGUAGGGGUUCUGAGAGGAAGGUCCCCCACAUUGGAACCGAGACACGGUCCAAACUCCUACGGGAGGCAGCAGUGAGGAAUACUGGUCAAGGAGCGAGAGCCUGAACCAGCCAAGUAGCGUGCAGGAAGACGGCCCUAUGGGUUGUAAGCUGCUUUUAUAAGAGAAUAAAGUGAGAGUCGAGACUCUUUUUGUAUGUACCUUAUGAAUAAGGACCGGCUAAUUCCGUG
rnacentral:rRNA from 1 species